AUUGAACGCUGGCGGCAGGCCUAACACAUGCAAGUCGAGCGAGAGGCGGACGGGUGAGUAAUGUCUGGGAAACUGCCUGAUGGAGGGGGAUAAGUACUGGAAACGGUAGCUAAUACCGCAUACGAUCAGAUGUGCCCCGAUGGGAUUAGCUAGUCGGUGGGGUAACGGCUCACCUAGGCGAGGGUCCACCGCUGGUCUGAGAGGUAGACCAGCCACACUGGAACUGAGACCCGGUCCAGACUCCUACGGGAGGAAGCAGUGGGGAAUAUUGCACAAUGGGCGCAAGCCGGAUGCAGCCAUGCCGCGUGUGUGAAGAAGGCCUUCGGGUUGUAAAGCACUUUCAGCGGGGAGGCGUUACCCGCAGAAGAAGCACCGGCUAACUCCGUGCCAGCAGCCGCGGUAAUUC
rnacentral:rRNA from 1 species